AGAUUCUUGAAUCUAUGCAGAGAUUUCGUCAGACACCAACCCAUUAGGGCUGACCGGACUUUCAAGAUAUGUGAAGUU
rnacentral:pre_miRNA from 1 species